CUGGCUCAGAACGAACGUGGGCGGCGUGGAUUAGGCAUGCAAGUCGAACGAAUCCCGGGGGCAACCCCGGGGGAAGUGGCGAAAGGGGCAGUAAGGCGUGGGUAACCUACCCUGGGGACCGGGAUAGCCUUCCUAACGGAAGGGUAAUACCGGGCGCCGUAAGCAUGACGCCUGUUGUGCUUACGAAACGAAGUUCGCCCCGGGAGGGGCCCACUUGGUAUUAGCUGGUUGGUAGGGUAAUGGCCUACCAAGGCGAAGAUGCCUAGCAGGUGUGAGAGCACGACCUGCGCCACUGGCACUGAGACACUGGCCAGACUCCUACGGGAGGCUGCAGUCGAGGAUCUUCGGCAAUGGGCGCAAGCCUGACCGAGCGACGCCGCGUGUGCGAUGAAGGCCUUCGGGUUGUAAAGCACUGUCGAGGGGGAGGAAAGCCCGCAAGGGUCUGACCUAGCCCUGGAGGAAGCACGGGCUAAGUUCGUGCCAGCAGCCGCGGUAAGACGAACCGUGCAAACGUUGUUCGGAUUCACUGGGCUUAAAGGGCGCGUAGGCGGCUUGCCAAGUCAGAUGUGAAAUCGUUCGGCUCAACCGGACAAUUGCUUCUGAUACUGGUGGGCUGGAGGGAGGUAGGGGCAGAUGGAACUUCCGGUGGAGCGGUGAAAUGCGUAGAUAUCGGAAGGAACGCCGGUGGCGAAAGCGAUCUGCUGGAUCUCUUCUGACGCUGAGGCGCGAAAGCCAGGGGAGCAAACGGGAUUAGAUACCCCGGUAGUCCUGGCCCUAAACGAUGGGUACUAGGUAGUGGACUUGACAUGGGUUCACUGCCGAAGCAAAAGUGUUAAGUACCCCGCCUGGGGAGUAUGGUCG
rnacentral:rRNA from 1 species